AGAAUCAACGCUGGCGGCGUGCCUAACACAUGCAAGUCGAACGAGAAAGUGGAGCAAUCCAUGAGUAAAGUGGCGCACGGGUGAGUAACACGUGACUAACCUACCCUUGAGUGAGGGAUAACUGAGGGAAACCUUAGCUAAUACCGCAUAAUACCUACGGGUCAAAGGAGCAAUUCGCUUAAGGAGGGGGUCGCGGUCGAUUAGUUAGUUGGCAGGGUAAUGGCCUACCAAGACUGUGAUCGAUAUCCGGCCUGAGAGGGCGCACGGACACACUGGAACUGAAACACGGUCCAGACUCCUACGGGAGGCAGCAGUGGGGAAUUUUGCGCAAUGGGGGAAACCCUGACGCAGCAACGCCGCGUGGAGGAUGAAGUCCCUUGGGACGUAAACUCCUUUCGACCGGGACGAUAAUGACGGUACCGGAAGAAGAAGCCCCGGCUAACUUCGUGCCAGCAGCCGC
rnacentral:rRNA from 1 species